rnacentral:rRNA from 1 species
UAAGGAAUAUUGGUCAAUGGAGGCAACUCUGAACCAGCCAUGCCGCGUGCAGGAAGAAGGCCCUAUGGGUCGUAAACUGCUUUUGAACAAGAGAAAACCCCGGUACGUGUACUGGGUUGAUAGUAUUGUUAGAAUAAGCAUCGGCUAACUUCGUGCCAGCAGCCGCGGUAAGACGAAGGAUGCAAGCGUUAUCCGGAUUCAUUGGGUUUAAAGGGUGCGUAGGCGGACUGAUAAGUCAGUGGUGAAAUCUCUCGGCUUAACCGAGAAACUGCCAUUGAUACUGUUAGUCUAGAGUACAGAUGAUGUGGGCGGAAUAUGACAUGUAGUGGUGAAAUACUUAGAUAUGUCAUAGAACACCGACUGCGAAGGCAGCUCACAAAACUGUAACUGACGCUGAGGCACGAAAGUGCGGGGAUCAAACAGGAUUAGAUACCCGCGUAGUCCCUGAGCGGGCUGGCAAGGCGCAU